GAUCAUGGCUCAGGAUGAACGCUAUCUACAGGCUUAACACAUGCAAGUCGAGGGGAAACGACAUCGAAAGCUUGCUUUUGAUGGGCGUCGACCGGCGCACGGGUGAGUAACGCGUAUCCAACCUGCCUACCACUUGGGGAUAACCUUGCGAAAGAAAGAUUAAUACCUGAUGGUAUCUUAAGCACACAUGUAAUUAAGAUUAAAGAUUUAUCGGUGUACGAUGGGGAUGCGUUCCAUUAGGUAG
rnacentral:rRNA from 1 species